CGUCAAGUCAUCAUGGCCCUUACGGCCUGGGCUACACACGUGCUACAAUGGUCGGUACAAAGGGUUGCCAAGCCGCGAGGUGGAGCUAAUCCCAUAAAACCGAAUCGUAGUCCGGAUCGCAGUCUGCAACUCGACUGCGUGAAGUCGGAAUCGCUAGUAAUCGUGAAUCAGAAUGUCACGGUGAAUACGUUCCCGGGCCUU
rnacentral:rRNA from 1 species